UACGGGGGGUGCAAGCGUUGUUCGGAAUUACUGGGCGUAAAGGGUUCGUAGGUGGCUUGUUAAGUCAGACGUGAAAUCCCUCAGCUUAACUGGGGAACUGCGUCUGAGACUGGUGAGCUUGAGUGCAGGAGAGGAACGCGGAAUUCCAGGUGUAGCGGUGAAAUGCGUAGAUAUCGGGAGGAACACCAGUGGCGAAGGCGGCGACCUGGCCUGAUACUGACGCUGAGGCACGAAAGCAUGGGGAGCGAACAGG
rnacentral:rRNA from 1 species